rnacentral:hammerhead_ribozyme from 1 species
GCACCGCUGAGGAGUCCCAUGCAAGGACGAAACGGACGUCUGGUGC